UGUGGAUGCAUGUCAGUCACACUUGACAAGCACUGCUGAUACAGUUUGACCGAAGUUAUUGAACGGAUGGCAGUGGUAUGUAUAUUACGAAUCUCGCUGCAGCCGGGUUUAUGCAACUUGAAAUAUAUUGUUGAUUAUGACACAUGCAAACUAGUAUGAGCACAUUGCCCAUAGGACAAAUCAAUUGGAAGCGACGAUGAUCAGGAUGUUACGACUGCACAUCGAACGUUAAAGUAUGAAAUAGAACAUCGCUGAGACGACCUUAACGAUCUCUACACCUGUAAAAGUGGGACGUGAGUCGAGUUUCGACAGAAUAGCUAAGUAUCGACGGAACAACUAGCUUUAUUUGCUCGAACAAAAUUUGGGAGAGAUUACAACAGAGUAUCGUGUUUGCUACGAAUUUGUCGUGACAGACUCUGUCAACAAGAGAUAUGAGGGUUUAUUACUUUUCAAAGACAAUAGAGAUAAUGGCGGAGAUCUAGGAAGUUCAAAUAAAAAAAAUCGGUGAAAAUUUACGCUGGGUUUUCCAAGGCUAAGUAUUUUACGGCUGGGUAUUUAAAUGUAACAAGGUCGGAAAAAUGUAUUGUUUGCUUCCGUAGUAAAUGGAAAUUUGAGGUUUAGAACUCACGAGUUACUAUAAUUUUAUUUCAUUCGCAACACGUUCGAAAAUGAAAAAAGCCUUUUAGUGAACAGUUUUAACUAUGAUUUUAAGGUUAAACGUGAGCUAGAUAAAUCAGACUUCUUAAUCCCCUGGAGUUAGUAACCUGCUCACGUUGCUGGUAGCUCAUUAAGCAUACGGAAAUUUUUUUUGUAAAUUUUGUGAAAAUAACAAAUUAAUGCUAGAGCUUUCUAUCCUUAAAGAAAUUGUUUCACUUUUUUGUACAAUUUUUUUACAGUCAUCAAAAAUUCACAUAAUAGUACUAGACUGUAGUGCACAAGUGAUAUUUUUUUGUAGUAUGCGUUUUAAAUUAUUUUAAAUUUUUUGGUGAUUAAGAUUCACAUUCGAUUGAUUUGUGGUUGUACUGUGUCACAAAUAAUUAACCCAAUGUCAAUAUAUUUUCAGUUUAAUAUCAACAGUGUCGUUUUAAUUUUUAAAUUUAAUGGAUGAAAUGCAUGAUGUUUUUGAAUUUUCGCUGACAUACAAUUUGAACGUAAUUGAUUAUACUGUAUCAUGAUUGAUUUUAGCCUUCGCAGAACGUCAACAUUAUUUAACAAUGCGAUAAAUUAGUGAAAUACUAUUUUCCUGUAAAAUUGUGGAUAUGAACAUAAGUACCAUUAAAUGAUAAAAUGCGGAUAAAUUACAGUGUAAAUUGAGAACAAAAUUUUAAUUAAAAUUUAAAACUUCAAUUGUUUGCAACCCGUUUCGUUCGUGUUUGUUGAAUUACAGUAGCAUUCUGGAGUUAUUUUGUAAUUAAAGGUCAAUAACAGAAUUCUUUUAUUAAAGUUAGAGUGUAGCUUUUUUAAUCGGCUUCAGAAGAAAAAUGGAAAUACCCAAGGGUAUUGUGUACAAGGGAUAGAAAGAGGUUUCGAUAAAGUACGUUGAAAGAUUGAAACUAAAGCAUUUUCUUAUUUAAUUCUAUUUUAUCUCCAAGUUUUACGAAGUUUGUUGAGUUUGUUGAAAAAGUUGUGUCCAUUAGUCUUUUCCUUUUUUAGUGUUUACAUUAGAAGUGGAAUAUAUUUGCCAAGGCGCUAAAAAUGUCGAUGGUGACACCAUUAAUGUGUUUAUUGUAGAAGCAGACGACGUUGGACUAAAUCAUUAAUACUUUUUGAAGUUCCAUCGAAAACAUAAUUUUAGCUUUUUCGAAAACACUUUAAUCGUUACAAAAUCACUAUAGACCGAAUAAUUAUUCCCUCGCGUGAUUGCGUUUUCGUAUUCGGCGUACUGUGAGAUACCAAGAAUUUUUUUUUACUAGACAUUCUUUAAAUAGAAAUAAAUGAUGCUAUAUUUAGUGUAUUCUACCGCUUCAGGUUUAGCUGUAGGAUUCCGAGAGUUUUUGAGCGAUUUUCUUGUUUGUGUCCAUCUUCCGAGAUUACAUGUCUGAUAAAUAAGACGUUGCGGUCUCACUUAGAAAUCUUGGCUUCUUAACAAUAAGAUAAUUCCAGCGUUUGUACGAUAAUGAAGACUUAGUGGUCGUUUAAUGCGACUUGCAAUUCGGCCAAACUUUUUCGGCUAACUAUCAAAGAGGAGAUUUAUUCCCUAUAAUUAGGGAAAACGAAUUAACAGCAAACCGAAAGCUCUCACAGUGCUAAAAGCUCGUGAACUUUAAUUAGAUCGCGAUUUUGCAAAUGAAGGAGACUUCCAGAAGUGUAGUGUAGAAAUAAAUAAAUCCUGGAAUGCCGACAUAUAUCAUGAGUAGCGCCAUCCCGAAUGACAAAUGGAUGCUUUUCGAUUCCUCGUGCCAUCUCCAGAUAUAUAUGUUUAAAAGUAUCAAGUUGCAGAUUCAACUUGCACAAUACGAACAUUUCCUAAGCAACCGCCGGAUUCAACCGGAAAUUUCAACCCAGCUGAUAAAUCAACCCGUUAUAUCAAAAUAUGUCAGUAAUAAAGAUUUCGUCUUUGAUUAAUGGAAAUAAUUACCGAAAAAACAUCCCACCAAGAAGCUUUCUUGCGCUUAUUGAUUAGCAGCUUUUACCCUGCCAACUCAUCUGUUCUGUUUUGAUUUAACUUUAAUACCCUCAUAUUUCACACCACGAAAACCAAUGCAACUAUUUCAAAUAUCGCCAAAUUUAUCUGUUUACCACAAUUAAAAUGACUCGUCGGUUUUAAGAGCAAGAGCAAAAAUCCCAUUUCCAGUCUUCGAGCAAAAACAAUAUCAUUAACUGAAAAGUAGUUUCCGGAACGGUUUUUUCUCUAAGUAGUUUUUCUUUACAGGCAUUGCACGCACAUGAUAAUGCCUCCACUCGUUCUCUGGAAUUACAGCAGAAGAGCAAUCACAUUUUCCUCGUAAUAAACACUUUACCUCCUUGUUCCGGCUUUUACCUCGUGAUUAAUGGCGCUACAACUUUUUAUUUUGCAUACUUGGUACUUACAGAAUUUACAUCCCGACCGAUAUGCCGUCAUCUCGUCAGCGCAAAAUUCCUCGUAUUGCACCGAGAAUGACGCCUGAUGUGACGCCACUAUAAAUUUUAGUAAUUUAUUUAAACUGUUACGCCCAAU